AUAGUGUGUGUGUUCGGGAUUGAUUCAAACGCAUCUUUACGGCUGUAAAUACGUACCAAAUCAGUAACUACGACAUUAGAAUUAAAGUCUUUUAAAGGAGCGAGCUAGAAAGUGUGCAGACGAUUGAUUAGUUGCAACAUCUACACAAGAGGCAUUACGUGAGACCAUAGCUAACAUUUGUUAUUAUCCUUUGAGCUAACCUCGUGUCCAUGAUGUAUUCUGAAGAGAACCAUGAGAUUCUGUAGGGAAGGCUUGUGGUACCGUGACAAGACAAUUAUACACCACAGAUCUGGAGAGCGUGACCUCUGAGCUAAUCGCGUGUUACCCUUGAGCUAACCACGGGUCCUUGAUGUAUCCAUAAGAGAACCAUGAGAUUCCGUAGGGAUGCCUUGUGGAGCCGUGAGGAGACAAGUCUACACCACAGAUGUGGAGAGCGUACCUCUGAACUAAUCGCGUGUUACUCUUGAGCCAACCACAGGUCCUUGCUGUAUCCUUAAGAAUACCAUGAGAUGACGUAGGGAGGCCUUGGGAAGACUUGAGUAGAAAGGUACUCACUCGAUCUAUAAGAACUUGCAUGAUUUUAAUAUCAAACUACUAAGACCAUUGCUUUAUUUAAAUAAGACAAUAGACAUACUCUUCACAGUAAUAUUUGCAAUAUGUCUGGUUAACACACGGCAGUGCCUCUACAAAAACGAUGCUGUAAUUCAAACGAAAGCAUACUCGACUCCAAAAUCCUGAUCAAAUACAUCUAUUGCGAAUAUAACUAAUUUCUGUUCCUUUUCUGCUAACCGUGGUCAUGCGUUUGAAUCGUGUUUCCGACGGGAAUAAGGAGAUCACGCCGAAUUUUAAUUUAAUACCAACUGGUAAAUGUACUCUUAAAUAAAAUGCAAGAUCGCAGUGGUGCGUUAUACAAGAAUCAAUUGCAAAUGAAAUCUCUGGGUGUAGAAAACAAAUCGUAAACUAUUUGCGUGGAUUGAGAUCGGACCUUACUAUUUCAAUGAAUAGUUAAAUAGUUAUUAAUGUAGAAAUAAUUUUCUAUAGUUCCAGGUUUUGAAACGACUACUGAUAUAUUAACCGGAGCAGAUUUAUUACGUGAUAAGAAUACAUGUGGAAAAUUUAGUAUCCUUGCCGAUGUUUUGCCCAUACGAACAAGUCAAUUAUGCUUUGACAGUUUAGAUUACAAUUCAACAAUCAGUCCGUUUAAAUCGAAGUAAUGCACCAACACAUUCAAAACAGGAUGGUCGAGGCGGAGAGAAGAUACAGAGCUAGGUUUUUGAGAGGUCGAGCUACGAUUAAAAGAUUCCAGAAGGGAGAUAUUGUAAUAAUAAAAAUAUAACCCCAGAAAUCGGAUAUCCCUAUAUUUAAAAUUUUGUGAACUAUACAAAAUCCAGAAAAUAAUUGAGAAUGAUUAAUAUCUUGUAAAGUGAUUUUAGACCGUGGAUGACUUCGAAAUGUGGCACAUGACCAGCUACGAAUGUGGCACAUGAUCAGCUACGAUGAGACUUCACAGCAUCUGAGGGACGACACAGAAUUACUAAGCAAGCAGUUAGGUGGACGGUUCGCCUACCUAAUAGUUAUCCGAAAACAAUGCAGAGCACGCAUCAGUAUAACCGUAUCGGCAUGACUUCGGACGAUGAAGCAUCAAUUCUUGAACCUGGCCCAUACUCUACGAGACCUGCAACGGGUACGAGAACAUAACGAAAGCUAAGCAAGAGAGAACACAUCACCAGGCAGGUACAGAGCACGCACCGCCUGCCAGAAUGGCCGUAUCGGCGCAAGCAGCUUCAAUGACGGAUGCAACAUGGAAAUAACUGACACCAAUUAUUAUAACACCUUAUUGGUCGUCGUUACUAUUGUUAAAAGUAAAACGAAAUCAAAGAGAAUAGAACUAUGUUUGAAUUCUGGUUUAAAUAUGACGUCUGGACGCACGACAGGGGACUGCAGAGUUCAGCGAGUGCGGAGCAUAAAGAAUGUGAUUAUGAAGAACCUUCGAGAAAUACAAGAACAUUUAGAAGAA